rnacentral:rRNA from 1 species
AUUGAACGCUGGCGGCAGGCCUAACACAUGCAAGUCGAACGGUAACAGGAAACAGCUUGCUGUUUCGCUGACGAGUGGCGGACGGGUGAGUAAUGUCUGGGAAACUGCCUGAUGGAGGGGGAUAACUACUGGAAGCGGUAGCUAAUACCGCAUAACGUCGCAAGACCAAAGAGGGGGACCUUCGGGCCUCUUGCCAUCGGAUGUGCCCAGAUGGGAUUAGCUAGUAGGUGGGGUAACGGCUCACCUAGGCGACGAUCCCUAGCUGGUCUGAGAGGAUGACCAGCCACACUGGAACUGAGACACGGUCCAGACUCCUACGGGAGGCAGCAGUGGGGAAUAUUGCACAAUGGGCGCAAGCCUGAUGCAGCCAUGCCGCGUGUAUGAAGAAGGCCUUCGGGUUGUAAAGUACUUUCAGCGGGGAGGAAGGGAGUAAAGUUAAUACCUUUGCUCAUUGACGUUACCCGCAGAAGAAGCACCGGCUAACUCCGUG